AAAAACCCUCCGAGGGGUGGAGAUAGAGAGAGCCGAGAGAGUGAGGGAGAGAGAGUUGCGGGAAAGGUGAGGGAGAAGAGAGAACUGAGAGAAGAGAGAGGGAGACCAGAAAACAUAAAAUAAAACAAGGUGGGCCCCACGGGCUCACCAAUUAAGGCUUUAAAACAAUUUUUAAAUAAAAUGGGGUUGGGGUGUUUCAAU
rnacentral:lncRNA from 1 species